UUGGUGCAAAGGCCAAAUAAAAAAAAUAGCUGGUUUCAGGUUUCACAGCCAUGUUUUAUAUGGGUAGCUAGGUCGGAAAAACAUUUUAUUUUAAAAAUAUUUUAUAUCAAGUAUGCAAUAACAGGAUAACCUGUGACCUACAUGUUUUUCGCGAGAAAUAAACGCAUCAAGGUGUUUUCGCCUUUUUUCAGCAGUAGCUGCCAUUUCAGAUACGUUUUUAAUAUUUUAUUCAACUGUUCUUUGUGUAAAACUAGGAUUAACAUGACUAUAUGAUUUAAUUAUAAGCAAACAAAAUAAUUUGUACAUAAACAAGUCUAAUGACUAUUUAUAUAUUCGGCUAUUUACGAUCUCUACUGGGAAAAGUCAAUAAAAUGUUUAUGGUCGGUCAUAUUUUUGACAGGUCGGUCGGAAACCUGAAACCAACUAUUAUUUUUAUUUGGCC